rnacentral:rRNA from 1 species
AACGAACGCUGGCGGCAUGCUUAGCACAUGCAAGUCGAACGAGACCUUCGGGUCUAGUGGCGCACGGGUGCGUAACGCGUGGGAAUCUGCCCUUUGCUACGGAAUAACUCAGAGAAAUUUGUGCUAAUACCGUAUAAUGUCGAAAGACCAAAGAUUUAUCGGCAAAGGAUGAGCCCGCGUAGGAUUAGCUAGUUGGUGAGGUAAAGGCUCACCAAGGCGACGAUCCUUAGCUGGUCUGAGAGGAUGAUCAGCCACACUGGGACUGAGACACGGCCCAGACUCCUACGGGAGGCAGCAGUGGGGAAUAUUGGACAAUGGGCGAAAGCCUGAUCCAGCAAUGCCGCGUGAGUGAUGAAGGCCUUAGGGUUGUAAAGCUCUUUUACCAGGGAUGAUAAUGACAGUACCUGGAGAAUAAGCUCCGGCUAACUCCGUGCCAGCCGCCGCAGUAAUAC